GUCUCGGUCGGGGUCGAACAAUGCGUUCGCCAGCAUCCUCGUUUCUCGGUGAUUGCACAUAAAGCUGCCAUUAUUAGAACUUCAGUGAGCGGGAAAUCGAAUAAAUUUGAAGUUGAAGAAAGUAAGAGAAAGUCGAAACGAAGCAAACGCGAUUCCUUAAGCCACGAUGUUCAGGGAUUUUAUAAUCUUUCCGGUGACGUCUUCGACGUGGAAUACCCAGAAGCUGAGAAAUUGAUUCUGUACGAUGAAAAAGACGAUGUCUCCACAGAAUACAACGAUACAAUAGCGGAAGAAUUAUCGAUCGACGUAAAUCC
rnacentral:misc_RNA from 1 species